CAAAACGUCCCCUCCACAUUUGGUGAAAUAGG
rnacentral:piRNA from 1 species